UACUACAGAUGAAUCGGUUAAUGCCGCUUCGCGGCAGCGCACCGAGAUUUAUAUGAUUUCUACCAUUCUACGGAGUAACUAGUUCGAUGUCGUACCUGAAUAAUAGAAUACCUUAGGAAAUUAAAUUUGUCUUAUAAAAUGGAAACUGCAGAAAUUCCUGAUGCGUGUGCCGAUAGUUUUAAAGAAUUAGUGAAAUGGCCAAAAGUUAUUCUGUUUGGUGAUUCUUUAACACAGAGAAGCUUCGAUCCUAACUCAGGAUUGUGGGGUACUUUAUUAGCUAAUAGACUACAAAGAAUUUGUGAUGUGGUGAGCAGAGGAUUUUCUGGUUACAACAGCAAGUUUUGCCGUAUAAUUCUUCCAGAGAUGUUCUCCACUUCAAAUGUUUCAGACAUUGCAGCAUUUGUUAUUCUUUUGGGUUCAAAUGAUAGUUGUGAUAAAAAAGUUGUGCCUAAAAGUUGUCAGUAUGUUUCUGUUGAAGAUUAUGAGAACAAUUUAGAAGCAAUCAUAAAAUAUUUACAAAAAAUUGGUGUUGCCAAAGAGAAAAUCAUUUUAAUGUCCCCUCCACCCUAUUGUGAUGAAAACUGGAUAGCAUUUUGCAAGCAAAUAGGUCGAAAUUUACCUACUGGAGAACGACAAACCUCUCAAUAUGCCUCUGCUUGUAUAAAUUUAGCCAAAAAGUUGCAUAUUGAUUAUGUAAAUAUAUAUGAAGAAAUGAUUAAAGAGAAGAGAAGUUUUGAUCCUUACUCAGGAAUGUGGGGUACUUUAUUAGCUGAUAAACUACAAAGAAUUUGUGAUGUGGUGAACAGAGGAUUUUCUGGUUACAACAGCAAGUUUUGCCGUGUAAUUCUUCCAGAGAUAUUCUCCACUUCAAAUGUUUCAGACAUAGCAGCAUUUGUUAUUCUUUUGGGUUCAAAUGAUAGUUGUGAUAAAAAAGUUGUGCCCAAUAGUUGUCAGUAUGUUUCUCUUGAAGAUUAUGAGAACAAUUUAGAAGCAAUCAUAAAAUAUUUACAAAAAAUUGGUGUUGAUAAAGAAAAAAUCAUUUUAAUGUCCCCUCCACCCUGUUGUAAUGAAAAUUGGACAAAAUUUUGCCAGCAAACAGGUAAAGAUUCAGCAACUGGAGAACGACAAACAUCUCAAUAUGCCUUUGCUUGUAUUAAUUUAGCCAAAAAAUUACAUAUUGAUUAUGUAAAUAUAUAUGAAGAAAUGAUUAAAGAGAAGAACUUCUGAGAGAGAUAAUGUACAUCCUGACGACUUGAAAUCACAUAGUAAUGCAACAUCCGAAAUGCUUUCUUGGAGUUCUAGAUGAAGAAAUUCAAACUGACCCUAGAUUAUUCCAGAAUAUUCAGAGUUCCAUUCGGUAUGGAUGUGAGGUGUGCAUUGGCAUUGCAGUUAAUGGGAAAAACUUGAAACUCUUUCUUUGACAAAUGUUCUUUUUGUACAUUUAUAAUUAAAAUGAAUAUUCACUUGCAGUUUUUAUCUUUGAUAUUUCUGUGUACGUCAGCAUUGCAGCCAAGCAUUUCUGACCAUAAAUUACUAUAUCAUUUCAAAUCAUCUUAAUAUAUUAUAGACAAGGAUUGGCCCGACUAUCUAAUUGAUGGGCUUCAUUUCAAUCAAAGAGGCGGAAAAUUUGUGUAUGAUUUGUUAUGGCCAGUAAUUGAAAAAAAAAUUAAUGAAAAAACUAUUUUUCCUCUGUGGGAAGAGUUUAAUGAACAUUACCCAGUUUAAGAAGUUCCUUAGUAAUUUUUAUUAAAAAUAAUGGAGAGA
rnacentral:misc_RNA from 1 species